GUAGUAGGUAUCUGGUUCACU
rnacentral:miRNA from 1 species